CUUGCCAUCCUGGUCCACUGCAU
rnacentral:miRNA from 1 species